rnacentral:misc_RNA from 1 species
AAAAUAAUCCUACCCUUUGUGAAUUUUGUUUGUUUGAAUAAUUUUUUUUUUUAAAAAAAUUAUUGGAGUCUUUCCCUUUAGAGUUUGCUUUUGAGUUUGUAAAAGAAUUCGAAAACAUCUAAAGGGGAUGGUCAAUAAUUUUUUUGAAAAAAGACAUUUUUUAAAAUUAAACUUUUUGUAUUCAUUUGUCUAAAAAUUAUUUUUAUAAUAUAAAAACAACUUUUGACAAUGGAUCUCUUGGUUCUCGCAACGAUGAAGAACGCAGCAAAAUGCGAUAAGUAGUGUGAAUUGCAGAAUACGUGAAUCAUCGAAUCUUUGAACGCAUAUUGCACUUUUUUAGUUUACUAAAAAAGUAUGUCUGUUUGAGUAUCAGUAAAAUAUUCUCAUAAAAAUCAUUGUGUAUUUUUAUGGUUAUGAGUGUUUUACAACGAUACAAGUUGUUUCACUUUAAAUUUUUUUUUAAUAUUGAAAUUUUUCUAAUUUUAAUAAUUAAAAUUGGAUAAAAUUUUCCCGUCAAAAGGAAUAACCUAAACAAUUUUAAAUGAUUAAUUUUAGCAAAAUUUUCGAAAAAAAGGAAAUUUUUAUUAAAAUAACUUGAUCUCAAAUCAGAUAAGAGUACCCGCUGAACUUAAGCAUAUCAAUAAGCGGAGGAAAAGAAACUAACAAGGAUUCCCUUAGUAACGGCGAGUGAAGCGGGAAGAGCUCAAAUUUGAAAUCUUCAAGGUUUUACCUUGACGAAUUGUAGUUUAAAGAAGUGUUUUCUGCUGAAGUUUUGGUAAAAGUUCUUUGGAAUAGGACAUCAUAGAGGGUGAGAAUCCCGUAUUUGACCAUUAUUUUCAGCUUUGUGAUACACUUUCAAAGAGUCGGAUUGUUUGGGAAUGCAGUCCAAAAUGGGUGGUAAAUUUCAUCUAAAGUUAAAUAUUGGCGAGAGACCGAUAGCGAACAAGUACCGUGAGGGAAAGAUGAAUAGAACUUUGAAAAGAGAGUUAAACAGUACGUGAAAUUGUCAAAAGGGAAGCGUUUGACACCAGUGUUGUUUUCUCGAAAAUCAAUUAAAAAUGGCUCGAUUUUGUAUUGCUGAGACCUUAAAGCUCACUGUACAUUUUUCGUGUCUUUUUUAAUGCACUUUUCGUUUAACAAGUCAACAUCAGUUUCUUUUGUUGUAAAAGGGUCAUUGGAAGGUGGCUUUCUUUUCGGAGAAAGUGUUUAUAGCCUUUGGCCUCUGCAAUCGAAGAGACUGAGGUCUGCAGCGUAGACUCUUCGGGGUUAGAUACAUUUGUGCUAAGUUAUAGCUUUUUAUAGACGACUUGUUGACUAUAAUUAGUCUUGUAGCUUACUCGCUUAUGCUAUUUUACCUACGCUUAGGAUG